ACUUUCAACAACGGAUCUCUUGGUUCUGGCAUCGAUGAAGAACGCAGCGAAAUGCGAUAAGUAAUGUGAAUUGCAGAAUUCAGUGAAUCAUCGAAUCUUUGAACGCACAUUGCGCCCCCUGGUAUUCCGGGGGGCAUGCCUGUUCGAGCGUCAUUGC
rnacentral:rRNA from 2 species